GGACAAGGGCUGGCGAAGAAGUGAAAGAUGCUGGAGAGGGGACUGUGGUUUGCCCUUUACCCUGGCUGUCCUGGAUCUCGCUCUGUAGACCAGGCUGGUCUCAAACGCACAGAGAUCCACCUGCCUCUGCCUCCCGAGUGCUGGCAUUAAAGACAUGCGCCACCAUGCCUGCCUUUUUCUGAGCAAUAUUUUAAUAGAUUUUUUUUUAAUAGUAGUUUUAGGUCCAAAGUAGAAUUCGCCUGAAGACACAGAGAUCUCCUUCCUCAUCCCACAAUUCAACUCACCCCACUGUCCAUUGUUUAUGUUUUUUAGGAUGGUUAAUGUGCCUUAAUCACCCAGGGCCCGUGGAUUAUGUAAGGUGAACAACUUCGCACCAUCACAUCCCUCUGCUCCAUCUGUCUCACCAUGGAGAAGAAACAGUACGGCCAGUAGACAUUGGAUGAGGAGCCAAAAGACUUCUCUCUCCUGAGGGCUUCAGACCUGCAGUGACUAGCUCUCCAUCUGGACUGUGGUAGACAUGGCAAACAGCACAGAGCAGGGCAUUGUUGCUCAGCUGACGCGCCUCUCUCUUUCAGCCCAUCCCCCAGCAGCACAUCUGUGGCUACAAUGGUCACAUUUCACAUUCGGACUCCGUCACAAGCAUCAUCACGGGCACUGAAUAUGCUCCCAAAGGACUGUAAACAAGGUCUGUUUAACAAGAAGUAUCAAAAUAAUAAUAAAAGAAAAG